rnacentral:rRNA from 1 species
CCAAUAGCGUAUAUUAAAGUUGCUGCAGUUAAAAAGCUCGUAGUUGAAUUUCGGGACCAAUAUGUCGGUCGUGCUUCGGUACGUACUGUCAUAAUUGGUUUCUCCCUUCUGAAGAACCUUGAUGUCAUUAAUUUGGUGUCUUGGGGAAUCAGGACUGUUACUUUGAAAAAAUUAGAGUGUUUAAAGCAGGCUCGCGCUUGAAUACAUUAGCAUGGAAUAAUGAAAUAGGACGUUUGAUUCUAUUUUGUUGGUUUCUAGGAUCGACGUAAUGAUUAAUAG